rnacentral:lncRNA from 1 species
CCCAUUCCUACCAUCUUCAAAAUGGAUUCUUAUGAUCCAGACUGGAAAAAGGUGAUGGAUCUCAUCACAGGGAAGAAGCAAGUAAGUCAAUCUGAGAUAACUACUCACCUGUUUAAAGAGAUCGAUGAGGCAAAAUCAAGGAUUAAAGUGCUGGAAUCAAGUAUUAAAAACCAAGGAGUUCUGAUCGCAGACUUGCAAUAUCAAAUCGAGAUGUUAAAAGUUCCCAUUGAGGAAGCUAACACCAUCAACCAUGGUUUUGAUUAGCUUGCUAUGCCUACUCGAUGCCAUCUGAUUUAGAUGUUCCUUUUUAGUUUGAUCGAUGGUGUUCAAACACCACUACAACAUCUGUUAAAUAGAUGUUUCUACUUUGUUUAAGUCUGUUUUGUUUAAGGUCUAACCAUAGACCUAAGUUGUAUGGAUAAACUAGAAGCUUCAAGGGCUUAAACAUAAAUUAUGUUUGAAGUUUCUAAGUUUAAAAUGAUUCACUGAAACUUAAGGAUUAAAAUUAUAUUUUUC